AUCUAUCUGACCAGUCCCGAAUAGGACGAAACGCGUGUCCUGAAU
rnacentral:hammerhead_ribozyme from 1 species